rnacentral:rRNA from 1 species
ACUCCUACGGGAGGCAGCAGUGGGGAAUAUUGCACAAUGGGCGCAAGCCUGAUGCAGCCAUGCCGCGUGUAUGAAGAAGGCCUUCGGGUUGUAAAGUACUUUCAGCAGUGAGGAAGGUGGUAGUGUUAAUAGCACUAUCAUUUGACGUUAGCUGCAGAAGAAGCACCGGCUAACUCCGUGCCAGCAGCCGCGGUAAUACGGAGGGUGUGAGCGUUAAUCGGAAUUACUGGGCGUAAAGCGCAUGCAGGUGGUUUGUUAAGUCAGAUGUGAAAGCCCGGGGCUCAACCUCGGAAUUGCAUUUGAAACUGGCAGACUAGAGUACUGUAGAGGGGGGUAGAAUUUCAGGUGUAGCGGUGAAAUGCGUAGAGAUCUGAAGGAAUACCGGUGGCGAAGGCGGCCCCCCUGGACAGAUACUGACACUCAGAUGCGAAAGCGUGGGGAGCAAACAGGAUUAGAUACCCUGGUAGGAUAGAG